rnacentral:lncRNA from 1 species
CGAAUGGACUGCAUUCUGAGGCACCUGCUCUAUUUCUGCCCAGGCCAGGAGCUGUGGAUCCAAGCACUGGGCAUGGCCACAGCGAACUUCCCUGAACAAGUAGUACUCUUCCAGCUGAUGAGUGCACUGGCAUUUAUUAUGGUCGGGCCAGUGCUGGAAGUGGAGAUGUCUAUAAGAUGAUUAUGAGGACAGGAUGGAACUCAUACUCUAAGAAAACAAAGAAGUCCAUGGAAACGUAUAUCAUGGGUAUCUUCAAAAACGACUUGCGUGGCGAGAUCUUCAAUGUGGCCAUCCUUGGCUACCUCAGACCCGAAAGAACUUUGCUUCUUUAGAGUCACUUAUUUCGGCAAUUCAAGGUGAUAUUAAGGAAGCUAAGAAACGCCUACAUUUACCAGAACAUUUGAAACUUAAAGAAGACCAUUUCUUCCAGGUUCCUAAAAGCAAAAUAAUGAACGGCCAC